UACGUAGGGUGCAAGCGUUAAUCGGAAUUACUGGGCGUAAAGCGUGCGCAGGCGGUUGUGCAAGACAGAUGUGAAAUCCCCGGGCUCAACCUGGGAACUGCAUUUGUGACUGCACAGCUAGAGUGCGGCAGAGGGGAUGGAAUUCCGCGUGUAGCAGUGAAAUGCGUAGAUAUGCGGAGGAACACCGAUGGCGAAGGCAAUCCCUGGGCCUGCACUGACGCUCAUGCACGAAAGCGUGGGAGCAAACAGG
rnacentral:rRNA from 1 species